rnacentral:rRNA from 1 species
UACGUAGGGGGCAAGCGUUAUCCGGAUUUACUGGGUGUAAAGGGAGCGUAGACGGCCAUGCAAGUCUGAAGUGAAAUGCCAGUGCCCAACACUGGAACUGCUUUGGAAACUGUUAGGCUGGAGUGCAGGAGAGGUAAGUGGAAUUCCUAGUGUAGCGGUGAAAUGCGUAGAUAUUAGGAGGAACACCAGUGGCGAAGGCGGCUUACUGGACUGUAACUGACGUUGAGGCUCGAAGGCGUGGGGAGCAAACAGG